UACGAAGGGGGCUAGCGUUGUUCGGAAUUACUGGGCGUAAAGCGCACGUAGGCGGGUCGCUAAGUCAGGGGUGAAAUCCCAGAGCUCAACUCUGGAACUGCCUUUGAUACUGGCGACCUAGAGUCCGGAAGAGGUUAGUGGAAUUCCCAGUGUAGAGGUGAAAUUCGUAGAUAUUGGGAAGAACACCAGUGGCGAAGGCGGCUAACUGGUCCGGUACUGACGCUGAGGUGCAAAAGCGUGGGGAGCAAACAGG
rnacentral:rRNA from 1 species